UUUAAUACUUUGGGACAUGUUAAUUUAUUCCUUCAGUGAGGUGGCUUGAAUAGGAAUGGCCCCCUCGGCCCAUACAUUUGGAUGCUUGUUCACAGUUGGUGGACUGUUGGGAAGGAGUAGGGGUGUGGCCUUGUUGGAGGAGGUGUGUCCCUAGGGGUGGCUUUUAAGGUUUGAAAGUCCUUGCCAGGGACAGUCAUCCCUCCAUCUCUGUUUCCUUUUUCUCUCUCUGCAGCCUGCGGAUCACGAUUUAAAGCUCUCAGCUACCCUUCUAGCACCAUGCCUGUCUGCCUGCCUGCAUGCUUCUCCUCAGGAUGCUAAUGGACUAACCCUCUGAAACUAAAAGCAAGCACCCAGUUGUAGCAGUAAAUAAUUAAAAUGGAUGCAGGGGUGGGUGGGGCACCAGGCACCAAGCCACACUGCCUCCUGCUCUUCUCUGUCCCCAGCGAUCUCUCCACCUCCAUGGCUAGCCCCAUGUUGGCACUGGCUCCUCUCUGGGCCCACCAGCAGCUGCCAUCCUGGGACUGUGCUGUGAACCCUGCUCACAAUCCCAGCAUCUGCCCCUGUGGCUACAGUCACAACUCCCAGUAGCCAGUUAAAAUCAAAACCCAAAGCUUGUAAUUUAGCAGUCAGAUUCAUAUCAGCAAAUUCUCAGUCCACAAAACGUCCACACAAUAAAGUCACAACCAAUUGGUAUUGAUGUAAACUGCCCACCUAGAUAAGACAAAUUGUCCUAUAUAAAUCUGUCCCUUAUGAAAUAUUCAUAGCUACCUUUGCCCGGUUAAAGCCACGCAGAUCUGGGUCGUCCUUCUCUGCCUUUUUCUUGGUUCUUCUACCUCCUCAUCUCUCCUGCCUUACAAAACCUCUGCCCCCGCCUUUCUUUUUUCACUGCCCAAUCACAGGUCUUGCCUUAUCUUGUACCUGCCCUCACCUGCAUAUAGACAUCAAUUAUACCCAGUGAGUGCUUUCUUUCCUUUAUAAGAGAGAGGGAGAGCGAGGGAGGGAGGGAGGAAGAGACUGGAGAGACUGACUUAGAUUGCACAGGAAUGGAAGUCUGUUCAGUUGGAGGCUGGCAGGUUGCAGAGACAGAGGCAGGGUGAGGGGACACCAGGACACUGAUUGGCAAUGAGUGGGAGGGAAAGCUCUCAACACUGUGUGAGAGAGACAGCUGUUUCCUGUUGGUUUUUUUUUUUCUCUUUUGGUACUAAUUAGAUUCCCCAAAGAUGGUUACAUUAUUAAAUUACAUCAUGCAAAUCAUAACCUGUCUCCUGCUCUACACUUGACUGCCAUGUUUGCUUAAUGGGAAUUAGGGAAACAGAUUACUUAAUUCCUGGGAAACUUGGGUUGAUAAGAAGGCUCAGUGGAUAAAGGCAAGUGUCACCAAACUUGAUCGUGAGUUCAAGCUCUUGGACCCACCACAUUCUGGGUAAUAACCCACCCUACAAUUGGUUAUCUGGCCUUACAAGUGCAACUGUGUGUCAAAUUCCUAAGAGAUAUAACACAGUUUUAAAUACUGAUAAAGGCAUCUUUAGAGAUGUCAUCUAUAUGAAUAUGUCAGUUGUACAAAAUAAAACAGUUAUUGAAGUUAGCUUGACAAUUUAGUCCUUUAAAUAAUAAACAUAACUUCUCAGAUUAACCACCUUAGUGUCGCUUCAGUGGCAGUAAAUACAUUCAUAUCUUUGUGUGACCAUCCCUACCAUCUGUCUGCCCAACUUCUUCACCUUGUAAAACUGAAACUCUGUACCCAGUUAACAGAAACUUCUCAUUUCAACCUUGGCAACCAGCACCUGGCAGCAUCUGGUGAUCCUUUUGUGUGAGCGUGUGAGCCUCCCAGCUGGCUGGUGUGCGCCACAGUGCUACAGUGGCCCGCCACUCCCCUUUGUUAAGACUGAGUAAUCACAACCUCGGCCACCCACGAGCUUCUUUUUUAAAUGACUAACUUUAGCCUUUGCCUUCUUGUCUCUGUGUGUACCAUGUGUGUGCAGUGCCUGUGGAAAAAACAGCUAGAAAUCCUCUAAGAGAAAUAUACACCUUUUGUUCCCCUUAAGUAUUUAAGCAAACCUUUGUUAAACAUUUACUUCUCUUUUUGAGUUUGUAUGUUUGUCCGUGAACCAUGUGUGUGUCCGGUCCUGGAGUUACAGAGGC
rnacentral:lncRNA from 1 species